rnacentral:rRNA from 1 species
ACUCAAAUGAAUUGACGGGGACCCGCACAAGCGGUGGAGCAUGUGGUUUAAUUCGAUGGUAAGCGGGGCACCUCACCCAGAUUUGACAUCCUGAUGAAAGGCACUAGAAAUAGAGCCCCUCUUCGGACAUCAGAGACAGGUGCUGCACGGUUGUCGUCAGCUCGUGUUGUGAAAUGUACGGUUAAGUCCGAUAACGAGCGCAACCCCUGUCGCCAGUUACAUGUGUCUGGCGAGACUGCCGUGGUUAACACGGAGGAAGGUGGGGAUGACGUCAAAUCAGCGUGGCCUUUAUAUCUGGGGCGACACACGUGCUACAAUGGGUAGGUCACAAUGGGCUGCGAAAGCGUAAGCUGGAGCCAAUCCCAUCAAAACUACCCCAAGUUCGGAUUGAGGGCUGCAACUCGCCCUCAUGAAGCUGGAAUCGCUAGUAACCGCAAAUCAGCCAUGUUGCGGUGAAUACGUUCUCGGGUCUUGUACACACCGCCCGU